rnacentral:lncRNA from 1 species
UCACAAUUAUGAUAGCAUGAUUAACCUUCGCUUAGUCGGCUAGCUGUGCUGGAUUAGAGGCUAGAGUAGUUUAUUCAUUAGAACCUUGCAUUUUAAUUGUCAUGUUGCUGCUCUGAUUUCGCUCAAUAUUUAAUUUGUUCUAUGCUUGUAAUUAGGGAUACACUUAGUUGCCUAAUCGGUGUUUAGUCUUCGCUUAGUUGAUUAGACUGUAGGGUGCAUGACUGAUUGGAUUUG